rnacentral:rRNA from 1 species
UACGUAGGGGGCUAGCGUUGUCCGGAAUCAUUGGGCGUAAAGAGCGUGUAGGCGACCCGGUAAGUCCGCUGUAAAAGUCAAAGGCUCAACCUUUGAAUGUCAGUGGAUACUGCCGGGCUAGAGUCCGGAAGAGGCGAGUGGAACUCCUGGUGUAGCAGUGAAAUGCGUAGAGAUCAUGAGGAAGACCAGUGGCGAAGGCGGGUCUCUGGACAGUUCCUGACACUGAGGCACGAAGGCCAGGGGAGCAAACGGG